UUUUUUUCUUGCUUUUUUCCCCUGCUUUUCAACGGUUCAACUUUGUACCCAGCUACUAAACCCGAGUGCCUAUUCCGUCACUCGUUUAUACCUCGCAUCUAUUUUGAGUUCAGAAGAAUGUUUAAAGUGAAUGUCUACAUUUAACAUUUGAGCCAUUGUUCAACGUCUUCAGGUUUUGAUCCUGUACUCCUUUUGUCAUUUAUGGUUCGGACGUAAUUUGUGUGCA
rnacentral:lncRNA from 7 species